rnacentral:rRNA from 1 species
CGGCAGGCCUAAUACAUGCAAGUCGGACGGGAUCCGUCGGACAGCUUGCUCGAAGACGGUGAGAGUGGCGCACGGGGGCGUAACGCGUGACCAACCUACCUCUAUCAGGGGGAUAGCCUCUCGAAAGAGAGAUUAACACCGCAUAACAUAUGUGACCGGCAUCGGUUGGAUAUUAAAUAUUUAUAGGAUAGAGAUGGGCUCGCGUGACAUUAGCUAGUUGGUAGGGUAACGGCUUACCAAGGCGACGAUGUCUAGGGGCUCUGAGAGGAGAAUCCCCCGCACUGGUACUGAGACACGGACCAGACUCCUACGGGAGGCAGCAUUAAGGAAUAUUGGUCAAUGGGCGGAAGCCUGAACCAGCCAUGCCGCGUGCAGGAUGACUGCCCUAUGGGUUGUAAACUGCUUUUGUCCAGGAAUAAACCUUUCUACGUGUAGGAAGCUGAAUGUACUGGAAGAAUAAGGAUCGGCUAACUCCGUGCCAGCAGCCGCGGUAAUACGGAGGAUCCUAGCGUUAUCCGGAUUUAUUGGGUUUAAAGGGUGCGUAUGCGGCCUAUUAAGUCAGGGGUGAAAUACGGUGGCUCAACCA